rnacentral:tRNA from 1 species
AAGGACUUAUGUUAACAUAAACAAAUAGCCUUCAAAGCUAUAAAUAGGAAUAAAAUUUCUUAGGCCUUA